rnacentral:rRNA from 1 species
AUAACAAUACUGGGCUCCAUGAGUUUUGUAAUUAGAAUGAGUACAAUCUAAAUUCCUUAACGAGGAUCCAUUGGAGGGCAAGUCUGGUGCAAGCAGUCGCAGUAAUUCCAUCUCCAA